CAAGAGACUUGUACACGGUCCAACGCGGAAAGCACUUCUNUAGAUUACAACUCGGACAGCCAAAAGACUCCCAGAUUUUAAAUUUGAGCUUUUCCCGCUUCACUCGCAGUUACUAGGGGAAUCCUUGUUAGUUUCUUUUCCUCUUGGUCCAAUUAGAGGAAGUAAAAGUCGUAACAAGGUUUCCGUAGGUGAACCUGCGGAAGGAUCAUUAUUGAAUUUUGAAAGAGGUUGUAGCUGAUCAUUAAUAAGAUAUGUGCACACCUCGUUUCCAAAUUUUACACCAUGUGCACUUUUUGUAGGCUGACUUCUGUUGGUCUAUGUCUUUUUUUUAAACACUCAAAAGUUUAGAAUGUUAAAAUACAAGUUUUGCUUUGUUGCAAGCUUUAAAAUUAAUACAACUUUCAACAACGGAUCUCUUGGCUCUCGCAUCGAUGAAGAACGCAGCGAAAUGCGAUAAGUAAUGUGAAUUGCAGAAUUCAGUGAAUCAUCGAAUCUUUGAACGCACCUUGCGCUCCUUGGUAUUCCGAGGAGUAUGCCUGUUUGAGUGUCAUUAAAUUCUCAAUCCUCUCAAACUUGUUUUGUAAGAGGCUUUGGAUUUUGGAGUGUUGCUGGCCUUUCAAAGUCGGCUCCUUUUAAAUGUAUUAGCUUGUAUAUUUUUGCAGAUAAGCUUUAGUUUGAUAAAUAUCUAUCUAAUUGCUUUGAAGCAAAUGUCAGCUUCCAAUUGUUGUUUUACAACACUUUCUUGACAUUUUUGACCUCAAAUCAGGUAGGACUACCCGCUGAACUUAAGCAUAUCAAUAAGCGGAGGAAAAGAAACUAACAAGGAUUCCCCUAGUAACUGCGAGUGAAGCGGGAAAAGCUCAAAUUUAAAAUCUGGCAGUCUUUUGGCUGUCCGAGUUGUAAUCUAGAGAAGUGCUUUCCGCGUUGGACCGUGUACAAGUCUCUUGGAACAGAGCGUCAUAGAGGGNGAGAAUCCA
rnacentral:rRNA from 1 species